UACGUAGGGUGCAAGCGUUAAUCGGAAUUACUGGGCGUAAAGCGUGCGCAGGCGGUUGUGCAAGACCGAUGUGAAAUCCCCGGGCUUAACCUGGGAACUGCAUUGGUGACUGCAUUGCUGGAGUAUGGCAGAGGGGGUGGAAUUCCACGUGUAGCAGUGAAAUGCGUAGAGAUGUGGAGGAACACCGAUGGCGAAGGCAGCCCCUGGGCCAAUACUGACGCUCAUGCACGAAAGCGUGGGGAGCAAACAGG
rnacentral:rRNA from 1 species